UAUCCUACGGGGGGCAGCAGUGAGGAAUAUUGGUCAAUGGGCGGAAGCCUGAACCAGCCAAGUCGCGUGAGGGAAGAAGGCCCGGCGGGUCGCAGACUUCUUUGGACGGGGAGCAAGGCCGCCGACGUGUCGGCGGAAGGAGAGUACCCGUAGAACAAGCAUCGGCUAACUCCGCGCCAGCAGCCGCGGUAAUACGGAGGAUGUGAGCGUUAUCCGGAUUUAUUGGGUUUAAAGGGUGCGCAGGCGGCACGGCAAGCCGGCGGUCAAAUCCCGGGGCUCCACCCCGCCCAGCCGUCGGA
rnacentral:rRNA from 1 species